rnacentral:rRNA from 1 species
GAUACGGCCCAGACUCCUACGGGAGGCAGCAGUGGGGAAUAUUGCACAAUGGGCGCAAGCCUGAUGCAGCGACGCCGCGUGCGGGAUGGAGGCCUUCGGGUUGUAAACCGCUUUUGAUCGGGAGCAAGCCCUUCGGGGUGAGUGUACCUUUCGAAUAAGCACCGGCUAACUACGUGCCAGCAGCCGCGGUAAUACGUAGGGUGCAAGCGUUAUCCGGAAUUAUUGGGCGUAAAGGGCUCGUAGGCGGUUCGUCGCGUCCGGUGUGAAAGCCCAUCGCUUAACGGUGGGUCUGCGCCGGGUACGGGCGGGCUGGAGUGCGGUAGGGGAGACUGGAAUUCCCGGUGUAACGGUGGAAUGUGUAGAUAUCGGGAAGAACACCAAUGGCGAAGGCAGGUCUCUGGGCCGUCACUGACGCUGAGGAGCGAAAGCGUGGGGAGCGAACAGGAUUAGAUACCCUGGUAGUCCACGCCGUAAACGGUGGAUGCUGGAUGUGGGGCCCGUUCCACGGGUUCCGUGUCGGAGCUAACGCGUUAAGCAUCCCGCCUGGGGAGUACGGCCGCAAGGCUAAAACUCAAAGAAAUUGACGGGGGCCCGCACAAGCGGCGGAGCAUGCGGAUUAAUUCGAUGCAACGCGAAGAACCUUACCUGGGCUUGACAUGUUCCCGACAGCCGUAGAGAUAUGGCCUCCCUUCGGGGCGGGUUCACAGGUGGUGCAUGGUCGUCGUCAGCUCGUGUCGUGAGAUGUUGGGUUAAGUCCCGCAACGAGCGCAACCCUCGCCUUGUGUUGCCAGCACGUCAUGGUGGGAACUCACGGGGGACCGCCGGGGUCAACUCGGAGGAAGGUGGGGAUGACGUCAGAUCAUCAUGCCCCUUACGUCCAGGGCUUCACGCAUGCUACAAUGGCCGGUACAGCGGGAUGCGACAUGGCGACAUGGAGCGGAUCCCUGAAAACCGGUCUCAGUUCGGAUUGGAGUCUGCAACCCGACUCCAUGAAGGCGGAGUCGCUAGUAAUCGCGGAUCAGCAACGCCGCGGUGAAUGCGUUCCCGGGCCUUGUACACACCGCCCGUCAAGUCAUGAAAGUGGGCAGCACCCGAAGCCGGUGGCCUAACCCCUUGUGGGAUGGAGCCGUCUAAGGUGAGGCUCGUGAUUGGGACUAAGUCGUAACAAGGUAGCCGUACCGGAAGGUGCGGCUG